rnacentral:lncRNA from 1 species
CCAGGUUCGGCUGCCGAAUCUCCAUGUUCGGCCGCCGAACUUGCAUGAGUUUUGGAGGCACGUUCGGCCUCCGAAGGUGUUUUUUGCCAGCCCUAUAAAUGGACGCCAUGACCGAAACAGGGAGUUUUCUCCCCAUUUUCGGCCACGGUGAGUCCCUACUCUCCCUUGGUUCAUUUUUAAUGAUUUCUCCUCAAAUCUUGUAAGAUUUAACGAGUUUCAACUUGGUUUUGAAAGAUUUGAGCUUUUGAGCAAGGUUUUUGGAGCUUGGAGGUUCAAGAACCAAAUCUCUC